rnacentral:lncRNA from 1 species
CAUGGUGUGCUUGUCUGAUGGACAGGGCAGCUUAGGGGAAUAAGUCUCUGCAGCGUUGUAGUGAAGAGAGAAUACGGGACAACUGCAGGACCACAGCUCAGCCAAGAGCUCCCUUGCAGCUGAGUUGGCCAUAUGACUGACAGCAAGCCCUGGAAUGCAGCCAGAAGUGAUAGAAGCCUCUUUCACACCAUGCUCCUAAAAUAUUCCAAGAAAUUUUCCAAACCUACUCUUUUUAGUCUGUGCAUCUGGAAGUGAAAGUUUUAGAAAGGGUAAAGUCACUUAAUGGAAAGGGCCCAGAUCUAGCCCCUCGGAGCCAAGCUGUCCAACUAGAAAUUCUGCAUUAGUAUUUGCGACCCCAGUAAAAAAAAAAAAGUCCCACAAAGAUGUAGGAUCUCACUUUGCCUGCGUUAAUUCCCUGUCCUUUGCCCAGUUUCUCCUCUCUUGGAAGGCAGAGGCAGCUUCUGAUUUUGAUCACUUCAUGUCCAGGUAAGCAGCGCUGGGAAGCACAUGGGGGGAGGUCAUUGAAGAGAAGAGCUACCAUGCUUCCAGCUUCACUCAGGACACAGACUGCAAAGGCUCAAUUGUCCAGAACAAAACAAUCUUGAUCUGAAGCUUGACAAUCCCUAUUUGCAGAACACUUACUGGCAUUAGCUGAACAUUUGCUUUUCUUUAAAACCUUUCUCCCUGGAAACGUCACAUGCAGGGUAGCUCACCUCUGUCAUGGGAAUGGCACCUCCUGUAGUUGAGGUGAAAACUGGAAAGAUGAAAAAACUGGCCUGUUCUUAACCUGAACUUCCAUGAACGCUUGGGAGCAUUCAAUAAGGUACUCCAAAGCCUAAGUGAAGGAUGAGUGGAGAGGCAAGAUAAAAAUGUGGUUAUUCUUAUGACUUAAUAUCUUGGAAAACUCAGAUCUGUUGGUGCUUGAUUUAUUUGCAGAUUUCUAUAAUGUGAGAAAACUAAGCAGAGCUCACAGGAUUAACAUUUCUCUAUUUUUAGUACACACAUACACAUAAAGCACAGUUACUCAAUGACCAAGGAGAAAACUUCCAAAAAACCUCUUAUGCAGGAGAGCCCUGCCCAGAUUUUCAGGUCUUGAUGUUCAGUUCCAUUAGCAUAGCAGGUCAAUAUCCAUUAAGUGUAGACAGUCCCUCAGACAGUAAGAACCACUGUGGGUUAGUGGUUCAGAGCAUGGUUUUGGAGGUGCACUGCUGGGCUUGGAAUCCUAGCUUGCCUAUUCAAUAUUAUGUGACUCUAUGUACAUUAUUUAACCCCUUGGAGCUUCACUCUUAUCUAUGAAGUGGAGAGGAGAUGAUGAUAAUGUACCUCCCUCACAAGUAUUUAAUAAAAGUGAUGAACUUGGAAAAGUAUAUGUAACGCACUGAGUGCUUUACAAGCAUUAGUCAUACCUAAAUUGGCAUUUGAACACUACAUUAGAAAGAAAGUUGGAGAAAAUAGUGGGUAGGCUCUGUUGUCUUAGGAUGAGAAAGUAUUGUUUAAAUGAUUUUUAAAAAGAAGAAGAAAAUAAAAAA